rnacentral:rRNA from 1 species
UACGAAGGGGGCAAGCGUUGUUCGGAAUUACUGGGCGUAAAGCGCAUGUAGGCGGUCCUACAAGCCAGGGGUGAAAUCCCAGAGCUCAACUCUGGAAUUGCCUUUGGAACUGUAGGACUGGAGUCUCGGAGGGGAUGGUGGAAUUCCAAGUGUAGAGGUGAAAUUCGUAGAUAUUUGGAGGAACACCGGUGGCGAAGGCGACCAUCUGGACGAGUACUGACGCUGAGAUGCGAAAGCGUGGGGAGCAAACAGG